CUUCUGCACUACGAUGAUGGCCUCCUGCGUGUCGCUGUCUGUGAUGACCUUGAAUACGUGCCCGCCGCUGCCGCUCUCCUCCCUGAGGUGCUCCCCGCUGCACUUGGGGUGAAGUUGUACAAGCCCCUUGGCCCCUGCCGACUUCUGCAGCCUCAUGCCUCCAACUCCCCACCUCAACGUGAGCCUCAGCCUGGCUGAAGUUCUUGGAAUUCCUUCACGAUGACUUGCUCUGUCCCACCUCUAGACAUUUCCUUUCUUUAUUCUCCUCUCUACCUUCACUUCCCCUGUUUCCCCUCCUUUUUAGUCUCACUGACUAUUACCUCCUAUAACGGGGAAGGUUCCCAGACCUCCAGGCUCUGAUCCUGUGUGUCCAGGGCCCCCAAGCUUAUUCUGUUGUAAGGAUUACUGCAUCUCCCUAUUACUUCCUGUUAUUCUCCCUCCGUCUCUCUUUUCCCUCCCUCCCUCCGGGCUGUGAGCUCCUGCAAGGCAGGCACCACAUCUCUUAUUCAUCAGGCAUUCAUGGUGCCUGGCAGAACACCAGGCUGUCACAUAAAUGGAAUGUUUGAGUGA